UUGCAAUUGUUCUUAAAUUAAGAAAUUUUGUUGAUCUCAAUUAAAUUACUUCAUUUUAUUUUAAAUAUUUGAGUUUUAAUGAAACUUUUCCAAAAAAAAUUAAUUUUCCUUCAAAAAAUACUCUUUAAUAACAUAUUUGGUCACCUUAUGUCCAUAACAUUUGUUUACAUCAAGUUAUUAUCGUAUAAACAUGUUGCUAACUGCUUCACAAAUGUUGCUAAACAUUUCGAACAUAUACCAAGUCUCGCAUAAGCACUCAAACACAAGUAAACAAACAAAAUUCACCACCAACUAAAGCCACACUAAAAUAAACAGACAACAUUAAAUGCACACUAGCAGAGUAUUAAAAAACAAAAACAAAACAACAAACACACCACUGCAUAGUUUAACAGCUGUAGCAGGCAGAGCACAAGUGUUACAUUUUAACAAUUCGAACAGUUUUUAACAGACGUCUAGUGAAAACGGUGGUGUAACGCGGAUGAACGAAACAGAAAAUUUUAAUUAAAAAAAAACAAAUUCAAAGCAAAUAAAAUGUGAGAAACAUAUUGAAAAAAACCAACAAAAUAAAACAUAUUUUUGAGAAAAUAAUUAAAAAAAUAAAAAAGAAACUUUUUUUUAGAAAGAAAUAAAAAAUUUGAACAAAAAUCUUAAUAAAAUAAUGAAAUUAAAUAAAUAAACCAAAAUUUUUAUAAAAAAAAACUAAAAGUGAGAAAAAGUGAAAAUUUUAAACAAAUUGCCAAUAAAAAUAAUAAGAAAAUUUACAACAAAAACUAAAAUUCAAACAAAAACUAAAAGAAUUUAAAAAAAAUCUAUAAACAAAUCAAAAAAUAAAAAAAAAAUUCAUUGAAAAUUAAAUUUUUUAAAAAAAGUUAACACAAACUUACCUUUAAAUUUGAAUUUCCUAUCAACAAAAAACAUUUUUAAGAAACUCUUGAAUAAUUCUGAGAAUUUCUUAUACAUACAGUGUUUUUAAACAUAAUUAAAUUACAAAAUUUGUUUUAAUUUAUGGAUUUACAUGUGUUAGUUUUCAAUAAAAACACACAUGACAACAACUUAAAAUACAAACUAAAACAACAAUAACGACAACUUUGUACCUACCUACAACAAUUUAAGGACGUGCCAAGCAUAAUUUAAUGUUGAAACUCCUUUAAAAUCUUAAAGAAAGAAAUUAUUAUUUCAAACAUCUUUUUGUGUUUAGAGUAAAAAGUGCUGUGACACCAAAUACAUACAACAUACAACAGCAAACACCCAAAAAAAUUUAAAACAACUUCAAGCAAAACUGCCAAAAAGUAACAAAAAAACUAAAAAAGAAUUCUAUAUAAAAAACCUUAAAGGCAGACAUUAAAAAAGAAAAAAAACAAAGCCACGACAUAUUCAAAACUUAAAUGCUUUAAGAAUCAAAAAAAUCUAGCAGAAAAACACUAAAUAAAGCAACAAAAUCAAAGAAACUAAAAGAAAAAACAAAAAUAAUUCCAGGAAAUCAAAAACAAACUUAAGACAAAUCAAACAACAAAAAAACAAAUGAAAAAUAAAAAGAGUAACAAAAUCUAAAAAUAAUAAUAACUACUAACUAAAACAACAACAAAAACCGUAAUUUUUAAAACAAAAAAUUGUUAUUAGUGCUUUUAUCACAACAACCAACAAACAACCAAACUUCUUUUUAUUGUCUCUGCAUUUGUGUGAGUUCUCUACUCAAUUAUCAUUGAGACAAACAGAAAAACAACCAAACAAAAACAACAACAAAUAAAAAUUGUGUUGCUUGCAUUUUGCCGCCAACUGUAUAUUUGAUUUUACUCCUCUUAAAGACAACAAAAACAACAGAAAAACAGAACUUUAAUAAACAACAACACAUAAAAUAUAAAAGCACAAGGAAAAUAUAAAACUUAAUGCAAACAUUAAAAUAACAACAAAAACAACUACACUCAAGCAAUAAAAAGAAAUAUACAGCAACAAAACUCCUUUAGCUGAAUUUUUUGGGUUCCUUGUUGUUAUAAAGAGCAGCUUUAAUUUGUUCCUUGUUGUUAUUGUUGCUCUUACAGUGUGCAAUUUUUUUUGUGUGUGCGAAUUUUUUGCGAAACGUCAUCUCAUCUUUAACCACUCGGAUCACAGUGUUUUUUUGUGAUUCUACUUCUGUGUUCAUUCUUCUUUUGUUGGCUGUUAUUGUGGAUAUAAAAUUUUAUUACUGCUGGUAAGUUUCCUUUGGCUUGAAAUAAUUUUUGCCUGAAUCAUUAUUUUAACCUGCUUUUUUUGGGCCAAUAAUUGUGCUUAAACUGGGUGUGUGAGUGUCUAGCUCGACUGCAUGCUCAUGUGGUUUGUAUUUUUAUAUUUAUUAUUAUUUUGGUGAUU